rnacentral:rRNA from 1 species
AUUGAACGCUGGCGGCAGGCCUAACACAUGCAAGUCGAGCGGCAGCGGGAAGUAGCUUGCUACUUUGCCGGCGAGCGGCGGACGGGUGAGUAAUGUCUGGGGAUCUGCCUGAUGGAGGGGGAUAACUACUGGAAACGGUAGCUAAUACCGCAUAACCUCGAAAGAGCAAAGUGGGGGACCUUCGGGCCUCACGCCAUCGGAUGAACCCAGAUGGGAUUAGCUAGUAGGUGGGGUAAUGGCUCACCUAGGCGACGAUCCCUAGCUGGUCUGAGAGGAUGACCAGCCACACUGGAGCUGAGACACGGUCCAGACUCCUACGGGAGGCAGCAGUGGGGAAUAUUGCACAAUGGGCGCAAGCCUGAUGCAGCCAUGCCGCGUGUAUGAAGAAGGCCUUCGGGUUGUAAAGUACUUUCAGCGGGGAGGAAGGCGGUGAGGUUAAUAACCUCAUCGAUUGACGUUACCCGCAGAAGAAGCACCGGCUAACUCCGUGCCAGCCGCCGCCGUAA